UACGUAGGGUGCGAGCGUUGUCCGGAAUUCCUGGGCGUAAAGAGCUCGUAGGUGGUUUGUCGCGUUGUCCGUGAAAACUCACAGCUCAACUGUGGGCGUGCGGGCGAUACGGGCAGACUGGAGUACUGCAGGGGAGACUGGAAUUCCUGGUGUAGCGGUGGAAUGCGCAGAUAUCAGGAGGAACACCGGUGGCGAAGGCGGGUCUCUGGGCAGUAACUGACGCUGAGGAGCGAAAGCGUGGGGAGCGAACAGG
rnacentral:rRNA from 1 species